CCUCUCUGUCUUCCGACUGCUUGAGAAGCGGCCUCCCAGGUGUCCACUGCCCUCACAAGGGAAGGGGCGGACGCUGAAUGCCAACGUGGAGGACUAGAGCGUGCAGGAAGGUGACCUUGGGAGGACACACCUAAUGUGAACCCAAGGAAGCUGGCCACAUGGGAACAGUACCCAACAGUCAGCUUUCCACAAGGCCACUGCAAUGUCCCGGCGCCUUCUCUUUCCGAAGCUAACACAGAUCCUGGCUGCUCUGCUAGUCACCUUUGCUGAAAUUUAACUACAGCGCAUGUCUUUUUGGUCAUUGCUGUCCAUCUGUCAGGUGAUCAACACAGCAUCUAACGGCCUGAGACUGUGGGAAGAAGCCCAUGCAACUGCGGCCUGGCAUAAACCCCCCGGCAGCAGAGCAGAUAUCUUCCCAGUGUAGAUGUGCGCGCCUGCGUGCCUGCCAGGUGCCCCACAGAUCCAGUCUGCUGCCACUCUGAUUCCUGGAUUCUGACCUUACAACCCUCCGACUCUUAGGAGUGAAAAUUAGCAACAUUCCACACACCUAAAAUAUCUACGUAUUCUUAGAAUAUACAAAGUACCAGCCACAAACCUUAAAAUCAGAGCCAUGCCUUCUCGAUUCCAGAAAAUUUCUCCCUCGUCUUAACCUAGCAUAUGUGUGAUAAAUGGAGGCACACCAAAAGAAAUCCAUCUUCAGUGGAGACAGGUUAGAACAAAGCCAUGAGGGGAAGAGAAGAUUAGAGAGGGCCUACAAGAGGUGACUAACCUCAAACAAGGUACCUCCUUCCACAGCGCCAACCCUGAACCGUCCUCCAGAACAACACAUCUGGACACGGCACAAAAUAAUCAAUUUCCGAUAGAUUUCAGAUCAAAUUGGGAAAGGGAAACAAUAAGGCAUUUAGAGGAAAAUAUAAGGGAAGGUUUUGUGAUCUUGGAGCAGGAAAUAUUUCUUAAGUGGUACAUAAGAAGGUACCGACAGAAGAAAAAUUGUCAGAAUGUCACAAUGAGGUUUCUGUUGGUCCAAAGAGUAAAAGAGAAUGAGAACACAUAUGUUGGACAGAAGACUCACAUCCAGUAUACAUAAAGUGCUCUUAAAAAUCCAUGGGGACUGUGGGGAAUGGACAAUAAUUCAGCCAAGUGAGUAGAAAAAUACUCCAAAGAGAAUAUUCAAAUAACCAGUGAGCUAAGAAAAUGUGCUCCGCUUUGUCUACCAGCAUGGAAAUGCAUAUUAAAGCCACAAUGUGAUUCCACUGCAUACCUACCUGAACAGCUAAAGUAAAAGGAUGUAACUUGCAGUGUUGGAGAGGAAGACGAGUGACCACAGCAAUCACAUACUGCUCCUCAGAAAAUCGAUGGCCCUCCCACUUUAGAGACACAUCUAGCAAUUUCGCACAAUCUAAACACACAUCUGCACCCUAACCCAGCAGUUCUCUCCUCAUUCUCUAUCCACAAAAGAACGUAUCCAUCCAUUCAUCAAAAGUCACCAAGUAGAAUGUUCGUGGCAACUCAUAAUAACCCCAAAGGGCAACUCUCCAAAUGGUUGUCAGCCACAGAAUAUGUAAAUAAAUUGUGGCAUAAAAGCUUAUUGGAACAUUGUGCAGGGAUGAAAGUCAACUAUGGAAAUAAGAUGGAUACAAAAGAGCACAUAUGGUCGGACUCUAAGGUAUUAAAUCAAGACAAUUAGUCAAUGCUGAUAGAAAUGAGAGGAGGGGUUCGUGGGGCUUGGAAAGGGAUGGGAAGACUUGGACUGGAGGAUGGGAGAGUGCAGAAGGCAGGUGGCAGCAGCUUACUCUGUGGAAAUCCUCACAUACGUACUUUGGGUAUAAGAUGCUUCCUUACAGUUAGGAAGCACAGUAAAGCCAGAAGAAAAGUGCCACCGAGUCACAGGCAGACACUGAUAUUGCAAAAGGAAAGCCAGCCCCACCCUUCGUUCAGUGAAGGUCCAGGUUUUUGUUUGUUCCUUGGGAGGGGGAUACUAGGGACUGAACCCAGAGGCACUUAACCACUGAGCCACAUCCCCAGCCCUUUUUAUCUUUCUAUGUUGAGACAGGGUCUUGCUAAGUUACCUUGGGCCUCCCUAAGUUGCUGAGACUGACUUUGAACUUGGGAUGCUCCUGCCUCAGUCUCCCAACCAGCUGGAAUUACAGGGAUACACCACUGCACCUGGCCCAGCCCCAGUUUUGUGCUUGCAAUUUUUGUACUGUUUCCUUGGUCACCUGGAGGUUCUCUUCUGCACGUUACUGGGGGAUGUGACACUGAAUGCUUCUGACACAUGCGUACCUGAGGGGGAGUUUUUGUCACCGUCUCCUGAGGGUGGGAAAGCACACAGCUUCCUGCACCAGUGUCCAGAGGUCCGUGGGGCACCUCACACUCCCUUCCAGUGCAGCUCAGGGCGAUGUUGGUGACGCUGCUCUUCCUCUUCCAUUGCGGGGAGCGCCUUGUUUUCUCCUGAGCGUCUGUUGCAGUUCUUCUUCACCCCCGUGAAUCACUGCAGGCUGGGAGAGAAGGAAACACAGCCUUAUUUUCAAUUCUGAUUCCGUUCCUCGCAUGUGCUUUUCAUCUCUGAAGCGUUUUUCUCCAGUCAAGUCACGUGAUUAGUGGUUUGUUGAAGUUGCUCUGAAAUCUUGGGAAUACCCCUAAGUCUCACCUCUCUUCUUCCUUGACUUGUGAGAGAACUUUAAAAUUCUCCCUUGAAAUCAACUGGGUUUUCCAAAGUCUGCUUUGCUCCUCACUGCCUCUGGUUUGGAUUGUACUGACAAAUUGGUACAAAUUGGUACACCUCGGGGCAUCCUCUGCACAUGCAGCAGCUGCAAACGUCAUUGGCCCCUUCCCACCUGCAGACUUAGUUUCUGGGGUCCACCUCCAAGGACAGAGUCAUCCUUAGCCUCUAUUCCUACAGUCUGUCCCACUGUUUCUUGGAGGUAAACCUCCUAAACUGUUAUGGUCUAGAUAUGAGAUGUCCCCCAAAAGCUCAUGUGUGAGACAAAGCAAGAAUGUUCACAGGUAGAAGGUUUAGAUGAUGAGAAGUGUGACUUAAUCAAUGGCUGAAUUCACUCAUGUGGGUAGGAUGUGGCUGGAGUAAGUAGGUCACCCGGGGUGUGCCUUGGAGGCUUAUAUUUUGUCACCGGUGAGCAGGGCUCUCUCUCUGCUUCCUGGCCACCGUGUCCUUAGUGCCUUCCUCCACCAUGCCUUCCACCAUAAUGUUCCUCCUCACCUUGGCUCAGAGCUAUGGAUUCCGCUGACCAUGCACUGAGCCUCUGGAACCAUGAGCCAAGCAGAGUUUUCCUCCUUUAAGUUGCUCCUGUCAGGGCUUUGACUCAAGCAAUGUGAAGGCCGACUAGAACACUAGCAGAAUAGGAGGAGAGAGAGGAAUGGAGGAUUAGAAGAGGACCCGGGCUGCCCCAGGACACUGCCCCGCUAAGUGCUAUGAGACGAGAGAGAAACACUGGAGUGCUAUACGAGCUUUCCAUGCACCUUUUAGGGCCAGCCUCCCCCCUUCUGGGACCUUGGGGACCAUUCUAAGCCACAGUUGUAUCCACAAAAUGGGACGAGCGUUUGAGAUAUCGUUCCAGGCAUUACCUGAGGCAGUUGGUUUUAGACCCCCCUUGUCUGCUUUCGGAGCUCUGUCAUGUCGUUUUCUGGAGGGUGAUGCUGCAACUUUCUGGCUGGACGCACUGGUGAAGGAAAGGAGAAGUCUCCAAACCUGCUCUAAACUGGUGAGACACGUUGGCUGGGGCUGACAGACCCCGGGAGAGGGUCAUCGCUGGGGUCAUGGAAACCCCCCUUUCUCUGGCAGCAGGCUGACUGUGCCUCCAUUUCAGCACCCCUGGGAAACUCUGCAGUUUUCAUGGAUAUUUUCAUAAAUACAGCAAGGGCCACAAAAAUGGAUACUCACCAGACACCAUUUCAGAUCAUUAAAGCAGAAAUAUCAACCAGAAGCAGAAAAAAAGAAACAAAACAGAAUCUGGAGAGAAGGGAAAUGUACGGACAUGCAGAUUACCCAGCAAAUGUGAAAAUGUCUUUUCAGUCGCCAUCCAGGGAAAAAUAAAUAUAUUACCAUUCAACACGGAAUUUAUGAAGAGGUUACCUUGAUGUCAUUUGUAAAACUUCAACAGAGCAGGAUGGAAUCUCCUUCUUCAUAAGCAAAUGCCAAAGAGCAAAUCAUUUCAAGUUAAAAUAUAAGAAAAAAAAUCUAAGGAAAAUAAAACAUUGUACUUUUCAGAAAGAGGGUGCUAAUUUAAAUGGAAUCAUGUGGAUAGAUUUUAAAUAAGCAAAUGUUAGAUAUUUUAAAACCUUUCAUAAAUUUAUUAUCUACACUAGAAUUCUAAGUAUAUUAUAAAUUCAGACCAAUUUGGUUUUGAAACAAAUAAUAUAUCAUUCCAAAUAUGCAUGAAAUGUAUUUGAAUGUUAUUAUUACAUUAAUGACCUUUUUUAAAUGUGGUAUUUUUAACAUCAAAUUUUUAUAUGAUGUAACUUAAUUUUCCCUUAAUACAUUAAUCUCAUAUUAAUAUCACAUGCCCUCAGAAUGAGUUAUUUUAGUUUGCUCUUUUUUUAAUGAUUUGAAAGUCCUUAGAAGUAUUAUUCAACUUGUAAUUGAAUGAAAUUAUUAAUUUAUGAUUUUUAAGAAUGAUCAUGCUAAAAAUUCUAAUUAGGUUUGAAUGUAAAAAUACAUUGUUUUAAAAUUGUUCUUAAAAUGUGGAUACAGAAUAUCAAUGUUUCAUUGUCAUUUCCCUAAGUGCCCUGUAAAGGAUUUACCAAUUAACAAUGAUCCAGGCAAGGCUGCUGGGUUCAGGGAACAUGGAUAAUUCUGCACUCUUCAAGGCCAGACUUAAGAGGUUUCCAAAUGAAAUCCAGUUUGUGAAAUCCCUCUCAAUUAGGGCUAUCAGUAUAUGGAUAAACAACGUUUCUAAGCAUCUAUAUUGACAUUAUACAUAAGAAAAUGGAGAAAUCUUCAUUCAUUUGUUUUAAGUCUUACUCAUAUGCCAUGUUACUGUAUCUUCAUAUAUCUUUAUAGAAUAUUGUGUUAGAAUGAGCCGGGAAAGAGUGAUAAAUCCAGCAGGCUGAGAGAGAGAAAUUUGGGGACCACGGAGGCAGAGUCUAAUGUUAUUCUGGAAAUGGUUCCAAAUGAAAGCAAAUUCUAGGGUUUAAAAAUAAACUUUAAGUCAUUUUUUGCAAAAGGAAAGAGGCCAGACUCUGCUGUUUCUUUCCCUGGAAUGAAAAGCCUAGCAAGAGAAGGGGUACUUGACUCCUCCAGACCCUCAGCCGGCUGGCCUCAGGGUCCACUCAGGGCCCUCUCAUCAUCCUCAGCUUCCUUGGAAAGACCCAGAGAAACUGCUUCGUCCGCAGGGCUCGGGUGCCUCCCCUUCAGCACUGUUUCCUUUCAGGGCAGAGUAGACCAGCACAGACACCCUCUUAGAGCCAGACUGCUUACUGUUUUAUAAGCAUAAAAGCUUGUAAAACACUUAUGACAUUGUUUCACUUAUUCUUACAACACCAUUCAGUUGACACUAUUACUAAUGGCGACCCCUUCCCCAACUCUCUCCCAUGAAAGCGAGUUUUGCUCACUCGGAUCACAUCUGCAGGUUCACACCUGUUGCCUUGGAAAGCAGCAAGAGUAAUGAUUCUGGGCUCUGACAGUGAUGUCCCUACACUUCCUCCAGGUCUCUAUCAGAUGACAAGCUCUUACCCUUGGUAGUACAAGCCUUCCCAUGUAGGUCUGUAUAUCCAAAGAAAAUCAAUUCUUUGUUGUUUAAAUUUGAUUCUUAUGGCUAGUUUACCAUUAUUACUAAGUCUUAAAAUAUAAGUCAGAGACAUCUCAAAUAAGAGCAGUGAUUUUAUAACACUUUAAUACACUUUAUGAGCAUCUGUCAGAAAACAGAUUUGAUGUAAAUAAAAUUGUGUUACUUAUCUGAAACCUCCUCUGAAGCUUGAACCAAUGGGGUAGUGCUUGUCUGUACCUGUAAUGGAGACUUCUGAAGUUUGCCUGCAAAUCACCCACAGAUCAAAAAUCAUAGCCAUUCUUGUCACCAAUUCUUCAGAUACAUAAGGUAUCUAAAUGAAGUGAGUGUCUGCUGCAGUUAUUGAUCCAAGCUAGACUCCGGCUUCUGUUCUUUAAGCAAUUUACUAGCCACACUGCUUAUAUCUCAGCAUCUCUGCACAUCGGGAUUCUGAUGUGUGAAAUGAGCAAUAUAAUGUUAUUUAUGCUUUCAAGUUUCUGGAAGAAUCACAUAAAUAAUACAUGUAAAGCUCUCACCCUGUAUACAGAAAACCCUCAAAAAAAACCCAAAAAACCUGCUAUUGAUAUUGUCAUUAAUGCAAUACUCCUACAUAUGUAAUUUCAUGCCAAAAGAUACAAGGUUUCUCUAUUUAUUAAUCUUAUAAUGUGUAUAAUAAAAAUGGAAUUCAGGCAAAGAUAAAAUUUAUAGGUUGACUCUAAUGUUACAAUAAUAAUGUCAAUUUUCGUGUUGCUUCUAAAUUA